ACUUCGGUCUGGCGGCGAGUGGCGAACGGGUGAGUAAUACAUCGGAACGUACCCUGUUGUGGGGGAUAACUAGUCGAAAGAUUAGCUAAUACCGCAUACGACCUGAGGGUGAAAGCGGGGGACCGAAAGGCCUCGCGCAGCAGGAGCGGCCGAUGUCUGAUUAGCUAGUUGGUGGGGUAAAGGCCCACCAAGGCGACGAUCAGUAGCUGGUCUGAGAGGACGAUCAGCCACACUGGGACUGAGACACGGCCCAGACUCCUACGGGAGGCAGCAGUGGGGAAUUUUGGACAAUGGGGGCAACCCUGAUCCAGCAAUGCCGCGUGUGUGAAGAAGGCCUUCGGGUUGUAAAGCACUUUUGUCCGGAAAGAAAUUGCUCUGGCUAAUACCUGGGGUAGAUGACGGUACCGGAAGAAUAAGCACCGGCUAACUACGUGCCAGCAGCCGCGGUAAUACGUAGGGUGCGAGCGUUAAUCGGAAUUACUGGGCGUAAAGCGUGCGCAGGCGGUUUUGUAAGACAGGCGUGAAAUCCCCGGGCUCAACCUGGGAAUUGCGCUUGUGACUGCAAGGCUAGAGUGCGUCAGAGGGGGGUAGAAUUCCACGUGUAGCAGUGAAAUGCGUAGAGAUGUGGAGG
rnacentral:rRNA from 1 species